UACGUAGGCAGCGAGCGUUGUUCGGAGUUACUGGGCGUAAAGCGUGCGUAGGCGGUUUUCUAAGUUUGGUGUGAAAUCUCCCGGCUCAACUGGGAGGGUGCGCCGAAGACUGGGAGGCUGGAGUGUGGGAGAGGUAGGCGGAAUUCCUGGUGUAGCGGUGAAAUGCGUAGAUAUCAGGAGGAACACCUGUGGUGUAGACGGCUUACUGGACUACUACUGACGCUGAGGCACGAAAGCGUGGGGAGCAAACAGG
rnacentral:rRNA from 1 species